AGGGAGAGCUGACCACAGAUGGAAUGGCUAUUCAGGAAGGCAAUGAGAAAUUCAUCUCUGGAGGCUGAAUGACCGGUUUCACGGAUUAGGUAAUGGAUCAUGCAGUCACACGUCCGCAUUGCCUCACCUGCUCUAUUUUACUGUGUCUCUCCUGGGAAGAAAUCUUGGAAAAGGUUACCCAGUGUUGGUUUCAUCUACCUGCUGCCCUACUGCAGAAUCAGAAAGUGGGAAUCUGCUUUGUGGCGGGAUGACGUUCACCAAGCAUCGUUCAGGGCUGGUUCACCAUGAUGCCUGUCCAAACCCCUGAGCACCUAGUGUCUGUACCACACAUGAUAACCACAGGAAAAAUGGUUAUCCAGACCAGCCCUUUAACUCAAGAAUCACAAAUGCAACAUCUAGCAUGGAGAAGCAGGACAGCCCUUCGUAUGUUUGAAGACUGCUCUCUCAUGCCCUCUGCCUUUCUUCCUGAGACCUUCCUGGAAUCAUAGCUCUUCUCUCUGUGCUCAUUCUGUCUGACCCUUCUAAAACGCAAAGAUUGGUACCAACCAGCAUCCUCCUGGGUCAGGAGCAAGGACAGCGAAACCAUGACCACUGAAGUGUUUCUUUUUAACUACAAAUCAUCUAAACUCUCCUUAAAAUUAUUCAAUCUUUUUCCAGGCAAAGAGAUUUUCUUUGGUGAAGAGAAAAAUUGCUUAAAGUGGUUUGACCCACACCUCUCUCUCUGGCCUCCUUCCUCUUCCUAGAAAUCCAGCUAUUGAUUCAGCUUCUACUCAUGCCUGUAAUCUCUUGCUCAAGCGUCACUUCCUCAACGAAGCCGUCUCAGACCAGCUACCAGUCUGGGUCAAGCUCCUCUGUUGAAUGAUAUUUUCCUUUAGAACAUUCAGCUCUGUCUGUAAUUACACACAGUUACUGUGACUUCGUUAUUUGAUGCCUGUGUCCCCGUCUAGAUUGAUAAGCUCUGUGAGAGCAGAGUGCAAGCCUGUAUAGCCUAGCCCAGCUAAUAAAUGGGUAGGUGGUGAGUUGUGAGUGAAUGUGUAGGGGAGUCUGACUUGUCAAUAUUCUGCUUUAUUAUCAGAACAAAUGAAAACUCCAGUUUUUGGUCAUUUUCAUAUGGCUGGAUACCUUCCCCUUCUCAACCUGGCACUUGUAGAAUAAAUUUUAUAACCUAAAUGCAAGACCAGUAUGUAUGUCUCUUAAAGGAUACCUUGACAACUUUACCCUGCAUUCUAGUUUAGUAAACCA
rnacentral:lncRNA from 1 species